rnacentral:ncRNA from 1 species
AAAUAGAUAAAUUUUUUAUAUUUUUUAUAAUUUAUUAUAAAUUUAUUUUACAUGUAAAUUUUAGUAUAAAAUUUUAAUUAUUUAAAUAAUAAUUAAUUUAAAAUUGACAGUAAUUAAAAUUAAAAAUUUAAGAAAUUAAGAUUUAGUAAUAUAUAAAUUAAUAACUAAUUUUGUGCCAGCAGUUGCGGUUAAACAAAAGUUAAAUUAAAUUAUUUCAGUAUAUAAUAAAUAAUAAAAUAUUUAAAUUAAAUAUUAAAUUAUUAAGUGAAAUUUUAAUUUAAUUAAAAAUUAUAUUUUAAAUUAUGAUUUAAUAAAUUUUAUUAUAAACUAGGAUUAGAUACCCUAUUAUUAAAAAUUUAAUAAAAAAUACUAAAAUAGUAAAUAAAAUAUUAUUGAAACUUAAAUAAUAUGGCGGUAUUUUAGUUCAUUUAGAGGAAUCUGUCUAAUAAUUGAUAAUCCACGAAUAAAUUUACUUAAUUUAUAAUUUUGUAUAUCAUUGUUAAAAAAAUAUUUUUAAAUAAAAAUAAUAUUUUAAAAUUUAAAAUAAAAUUUAAUUCAGAUCAAGAUGCAGAUUAUAAUUAAGUUUAAGAUGGAUUACAAUAAAUUUAUUUAAACGAAAAGAAAAUUGUAAUAUUUGAUUGAAGGUGGAUUUAAAUGUAAUUUUAAUUAAUUUAUUAAAAUGAUUAAUAAUUAAAAUAUGUACAUAUUGCCCGUCACUUUCAUUUAAAAAUUGAAAUAAGUCGUAACAAAGUAGAAGUACUGGAAAGUGUUUCUAGAAUGAA